UCAUUUUUUCUGUUAAUUUAUUUCCUUUUUCUCUUCAGUAGUGUUUCAUUGGUGUGGAUAAGGAGUCAGUGCAAUGCUUGGGAACAGCACCAAGCAUUGACCCCAUGAGAUGAUUGACCCCAAUUCUUUAAUUUCCCACCUGGCCUUAGCUGUGUUGUGUUUUUGCAGAAGUCAAUAGUAUCACCUGAGGUUGAAAAUCUGGGGCUGAUACCAUAAUUCCCUGCCUACCUAUUACCUAACCAGCCACUGCAGCAUCCAUCUCCAAGGUGUGGUGUGUAAGCUUCUUGUAAAGCUCAUGGAAGGAGUGAGACCCCUCCAAAAAAUCAAUCCCAAGUCAUUCAAAGUGUAUAAAGAUCCACACAGGGUAAGCCAGGGAGCUCUGGGCAGAGGCAUGAACAUGGAGCCCAGCUCACCCUGGAGCUGAGUUCCUGGAGGCAAGCAGCUGCAUCCAUUCAGGUUGCAGAGCUGCAAAGCACCACACCUAUCAUUUGGGAGGAGGAAAUCCUUGCAUACUCAUCCUUGGCUUUUAAAGAGCUUCCACAAAGGGAAGAAAUGCUGCUGCCUGUAAGGGGAAGAGAGCCUGGGUUUGGUGCCUUUCAUGCUCAAAGGCAGCUUGGAUUUGUGCCUCCCCUCUUCCAGAUGAGUGGCGCAGCUCUUGGUUGGGGCUUGAGCACCUGCAAGCUGUUGCCUGGAGUAAAGGAAGCAUCUGAAAGCUGGCACGUGAGGUGGUUAAAGAAACCAAGCUCCAGAACCCCCAAGCUGGGAGGGGGAAGCUCAUGCAAAGCUGCCAUCCCAGCCAGCUCCAGAUGAAUGACUUUUAUUUAUGAGGCACAUCCCUGAGGAUGGGGCAGUUCAGAACAGCCUGUCCUGGGAGGCAUCCCUGAAGGAAAGCAUUCUGUGCCUGCUCUGUGGCUGCUUGCAUCCUUCUGUGUGCUCCUUGCUGGUUUAAGAGCCACCUCUGCUCCCUGCUGCAGGCAGGUAAAGCCCAGCCCUGUGCCACACGAGUGAUGGGAUUGUGUGGCUGGGAAAGGCUCUUUGCUGAGGUGGGGAGGCUCCCUGGUGGUCCAGCUCUCCCCUGCUCAUCUCUGCAGGGCUCAGGCUCAGUUUGGGGGUGUAGAAGGCCAGGAAGCUAUGUACUUUGGGAGGGAAUGGGACUGGCUUUCCACCUGCCUCCCUAAGCCUGACUCAGCCCACUUUCCCAUGCAGGGACAUCAGAUUAAACCCACAAAGGGCAGGAUGUGUCCCUUGCUUCUCACUCAGGAGCAACCACCCAAAAUGUGGAUCUGGCUCAUAUGAUCAUGGAAAUAAACAUCUCAGCCGUUUAAAAUUAUAUCUUACACUUGAGACAGACAUGCUGAGGACAUAGAGAAACAAUAGAUUUAAUUAGGCUUUUAAAUUGUGACACAUCUAUUAUAUGUUCCGUUACAGCUUUAAAAAAGUCUCACUUUCUGUAUAAUAAAUCUUGCUGGAGUACUACCAUUUAAUUAAAUGGGAGUCAGCACUGGGAACAAUUAAAAUGAGUUUAUGCACUUUCAGGGAAACCCUAUAGCAAGAUGUGCAAAAUAGCAUACAAUAAAAUGAAAAAUUAAGCCCUUAGUGGGUUUGAGCUGCUGCGUAUAAGAAAUUUGAUAAAAAGCAUUUUAAGAAAGUAGGCAAUUUUACAGUGUGGCAAGUAGUCUGUUCUGCCUUGAAGGUACCAGCCCAUGUCCCUUGGAUUUUUGCCAUUGGCAAAAGACUCCAGAUGGACGUAGGCAUCAAUACUAAUAAGUGAAAUACAUCCCUGAGAAAAAAAAAGUUUCUUUGAAACCCUGAAUUGGAGUGGAUGCCAUCUAGCAGAAAGUAUGCAUCAAUAGGCGAAAAAGAUAUCUCUGUUCUGAAUAGUUUCUGAGCUGCUUCAGUCAGAAGUUUCUCUGCUUAUGGGAUUUAGUGAAGGCAAACUUAAUUUUUAGGCUAUCAUUUGUACAGGAACAUAUGUAAGCAAAUAGUGAUGCUAUCUUAACUAGAACAUGAUAUAUACAUUUUAUUGCAUAUUAAAAUCCAUUUCAACGUUGCAUUCAGCCCAGGGUUUUUAGUGUGUUUCCCCCUCUCUGCCUCAGUAUAAACAAGCAGCCUUGAAAUGAACAUCAAAACUAAAUGGCAUUGAAUAUAAUGAAGCAACAUUGAGUCUAAUGAAGCAGAAUUGCUAUGUAAACAGGGAUGCUUUUAUCUCAUUGGAAUUUUUAUGUCCUUGCAUGUCUCUCAGCUGCAUUUUUGUAACCUGAUUCUUAGGAAAUGUCUGAUAUCUCUUUAUGAUUGUUAGCAGAGACCGAGACAGCACUGUAAUGUGUGCUCAGCUGAGUGGUGUGAAAGCACCACAUUGAGUUUGCUGCUUUAGAGGCAAAAUGGUCAUCACCCCCAUCUUGUUACAGGGGGCUGGCUGUAAAACUUGGUAACCUCUUAAGUGUGAAUAGGUCCGCUAAGAAGAAUGAGUUGCAGACACUCAAGGAUUGGGUGAAAGUGCCACUUGGGAGCUCCCUGCCUGUGAGCGUUCCUGCCCUUUCCUUGUCUGUUAAUGCCUUGGUGAAGGCACAGGCAGUAAUAAACAUAAGGAAUAACACCAAACCUCACAAAUCUUUUUCUGGCCUGAGAACCAUGCCUUCCACUCUCUUGCUGUAACAUAAGACUUAGGAGGACACAAGCUGACCUUCCUCUGCCAGGGAAGACUGAAACACCCAGGCACCUGCUCUUUGUCACCUUGGGCUGUUGGAGGAGCUCUGAGAAAGUCUGUGGUUCCUCCAUUGCAAAUUAAAAUACUAGUAAAGAGCUCCCUCAAAUUCCUUUUUAUUCCCACCUUCUUUGAUUCUGCACUUGGAAGUCAUGCUCUUUAAUAAAUAUUGGCUUGCAUCUGAACACCUCCCACUUCUUCACAGAUAUGAGCUUUUUGCCCUUUCGGACAGCAGCUCAAAAUUCAGCAUGUCAAGUUAAUGUGCUGCAGCUCCUCAUAUAAGAGUUGGGUUGAUUAUAAGCAGGUGAAUAAAUGCUGCUGGCAGUGUUGGACAUGGAAAUAUUUGUCAUAAUACACUGACAUACCAUGCCCUUUCACAUUCUCCACUUGAACUUAAAAAAAUAUGAUGGCAAAGUAAAUUAAUGGAACCUUGUCUGUGAUGUAGUCACUGGAAAAAAGGAGAAGGAACCACUGUGAUAGCUAUUGCUGUAAACUGUCCUGUUCUGUAACAGCUGCUUCAUCUAAAACACCAUCAACUCUGCCAAAUCUUGCAGCUAUCCUUAAACCUCUUGAUCCUCAAAGUUUGUGUA